rnacentral:tRNA from 2 species
GGUCUAUUAGUCUAGUUGGUUAGGACGUCGGAUUCUGAUCUCACAAUCAAACCCUUCCGUAAGCCCAGGUUCGAAUCCUGGAUGGACCU